ACGAGUCUUUAACGAUUUAUCAUUUUUUUUAUAUCAGUGACGUAUAAUGUGGUAAUCUGACAGGACAACGGUUUCUAAUGGUUUAUCUAUUUAUUUUUUUUUUUCGAUCUUGUGGAAUCUUGCGCGACAUUCAAUUGCCAGUAAAACAAUCCUCGCGUCGCGACGGUCCGCUUCAGCCGACGGAAACGAUUAAUAUUCAAUGUCGUUUGCACUCGAUCUCGUGAAGACAUCGUUGAGAAUCGCCACGAAUCGAAAGAAUAAAUUGCGUUUCUAUCGGAAGGCAAUAAGUUAACGACGAAGGAUUAAAAAGGAUUGUUUUUUAAUGUUUUGUGGCGACCUACGUCCAGAAGACGCGUUUCUUCUUUCUUUCCUGUUUUCGUGAAAUUCCAUUUAUGGCAUUAAUUUCAUGGCGGCCGUAAUUUCGUGCGAAUGAACAAUCGAUCAGAAAUAGCGAUAUCACGCGAAGGUAAUAACCCUCGUAAUAGCUUCGAUACUUGGAUAUUUUCGAGGGGAAUGACCAGCGACGACUUUCUUACUCUUGAUUUAUAAAAAGAAGGAAAUGGUAACGGGUUCGCAGAUCAUUGAAUACAUUGUAUAUGAAAAUGUAUUUUAAUAUUAUCAGAUCGUUACGGGAGUCUUGUCUGGUUUUAUGAAAUAAAUCUUCCUCCUGAAUGUGUAUGAGAAACGCGGUAACCGUUUUAUAUAACGAAUAAAUUAAAUUAAUCGUGACUUUUUAUUUUUAUACUUUUUUACGGAUAUCGGUUGAUUUAAGGCAAGGAUUUUAUAAUAAAAUAUUAUUAUAACUGGACAUCAAGACGAAUUAAUUUAAUUCGCUCGUAAAUCUACCAUUUUAUCGUAAUGUAUUAUGUAUGAAGGAGAAAAAUUUAAUAAGUUAUAAUUUCUAAUUUUACAACAGUCAAGUUGGAUCCGAGUUAUAAUUAAAAUGUAUUAUUUCUUGGAACUUGUUCUAUCUUUUUAAUUUUGAUAAGCACUUAACAUGAAUAUAUGUAAAUAUAUAUUUUUCGUUUGUCGUAAAUAUGAUUAUUUAUUGUUUUUAAGUGGGCAAAAUAUCGUCUUCAUUAAUUCGUGUUUCGAAAAUUAUUUUCACGAUGGACGGGUAAUCAGCUUCUUCGAUCCUCGUAAAAAUCCCAAUUCCAGAGAUUUCCUUCGCGAUCCAACUCUUAACUCUUUCUACGAAACAACAUUGCAUUUCCAUAAUCACCGGAAGAAUCAAAUUUUCUCCAUAGGAAAUAUCGUCUUUAUCGCGUCCGAUUGCGCGUCGAUAAACAUUAUCGCUGGAUAACGCUGGAGAAAAUCGUGGCUAUAAAACGGAAAAGAAAAAGAGAGGAAAAGAAAAGAACAAAAAAAAAAAAAACACAAUGCGACUUGUCGUCGCUUAGAACCGUUUACUUCCGAGAAAUCCGGUUAACCACUCGAUGUAGAAACACGAGUCGGGAUCUCAACAAUACGCGGCUGUUUUGCCGCGUUUCCAGAGAGAGAAUUUUUCUCUCCCCCACGACGCGAUAAGCGCCGUUAUCUUUUGCCGCGCCACGAUAAUCCAAAGAACCGUCGUUUCAGUUCUUUAGACAGGUCGGCUAUGCAGUAGCAGCGAUGAACUAAACGCCUGUGGCUAUGUAACCAGGAGCAGAAACGUUCGCCGUGUAAUUCUCGAGCUUGUUACGCGAAGCACACAUCGUCGUGGAUACGGAGAAAGAAGAGAGAGAGAAAUUCCAUCCUCUUCGUAGACUUUCUCUUUCUUCUACUUAUUUUCAUACCACCCCCUCUACACCUUCACUGUUCCUCCACAUGUAUGCGUAUGCACGUGUUCCUCCUUUUUUCCUCCUUCUCUCUUUCUCUCUCUUCCUCUAUCGCUUCCACUCUGUCCCACCGCCUAGCGUUAGGUAAUUCGAAAGCAAUUUGAAUUGACGUGUACCGGCAGAGGAAAGUAAUUACGGGGUGGUGGUGAACGCGAGGCGCAAGCUCCCAACCUCGUCGAAUCGUGUACACCUACCUGGUUGUCUACUACUCACUCAGGGAAUGCACGCAUACAUGCGUACUCAGAAUCUUGUGCUCGCGUAUGUAUAUAUAUAUAUAUACACCAUGGUUCGCGGUUAGAUUGAUUAAAAUUUACUAUGCAAAUUAGAUUGCGCCUCGGAACGACGACCUCGAAACCACGCGCGCAAGAGGAAAGCCCGCAGCAUGAAAAGAUGAAUCGUUAUCAUUAGCAUUUUCACCAUUGACGGGGCUUUGCGCCACGCCGGUGUUAUCGUGUCACCGACUAAGCCGUCGAAUCUCCCUGGGUUCCGCUCGUUUUCGACCGGGUUAGUCGAUACGCUUGUGAACGCGUGUAUAUAAUCCUAUCCGUUCCUAUAUAAAUGUGUGUGUGUGUGUGUUUUGUAGUCGUGCCGUGAAUAUUCCAUUAAUAUCCGAUGGGAAAUUUCAAUAAAAAGGAUUAGGUAAAGGUGCAUUCACCUUCUUUGGGUUUCUUCUCUUCUCGAGUUUUUUCCUUUUUUCAUCCUCCGAUCCUCUUUCAAAGGCGUUCCAUCGUGGCACGUAAACUGGCGAAGAAAUUCGUCUUUCCGCUAGAUCGGUCGGAAGCGGCGGGAUUCGCGACAGAGUGGAGGGAGGAAGGCACGAGGGUGAGUUUCGCCCUCCCCCCGAGGCAUGUACACGCACGGUAGGCGAAUUGAUCGCGUUGGGGUAGAAUCAUCCAUCACCGAGUGACAGACCCGAGCUAACCCACCCCAUGGAAAGGUGCCCCUCUCCCCUUCUGACAAGAGGAAUGGACAGAGGUGGCGUGUGGGGAAGGGACGAGAAGAACGGAAGGGGAGGUGUGCCAGGGAGGGAAAACGGUGGCGCCCUCGAACGACGGGCGACGAACCAAACAACCCCCUCAACAAUGCCCAACAGAUCCCACGGGGCGACGUGCUUUCUCUUUUUCUUUCUUUCUUUCUUUCUUUCUCUUUCUCUCCUUUUUUCUUCACCCACCACUCUUUGCAUCUCGGUUUUUUCUCGAUUUCAGCCCGUCACGUUCGCUGACGUUUGCCUCUCGCGAAAAUCGAAACGCUUAAUUGCGUGAUCUCGUCUCGCUUAAAGUGGCUCUUUCCACCCGUUGUUCAAUUGGAUAGAUAGAAUACAUAUUUGAACGAGUAUCGCGCUGGAUUUGGAAGCGUACUUUAUAUAUAUAUAUAUAUAUACGACAGAAAUUGGAAAUAAUGAUAUUAACAUGAGUUCAUAGGGGAUCGAAAUUUCAUCGGACGGGCCGCCCCAUCAAUUGAGUCACCCAGGUGCGAUAUGACCCGAAAUAAAGAGGGAAAGAGAAAGAGACUUCCCUUUGUUCGAUGCCGGGGAUUCUAACAAAUAUUUUGCACCGUCAUACCACUAUAUCAUAUCUCCCUUUGAUACAUUAUAUCGCGGUCAAAGCACCCCUAUUCAUCCCCCUCCCGUUCGAAAAUUCUACCGAAAACCAUCCCUCUCCCUUCACCAUCUCUCCUUCUUAACUAAACCGCAUCGCUCUCCUCAAUUUGCCUGCACAAAGCUCACCUCUCUAAACUACUCUCUAAAUGCCGCCACGCCGAUUCGAUUCGGAACGGAAUCCUCUUCCUGCAAAGCCGCUCGUUCACGAUACACAGGCCCCGGGCCAAAGACCGUUCGUUGUUAAUCAUACUCGACCGAUCCCGACUACGAGUCUAUCCAAUUCCUAAUGAUUCCUGGAGAAAAUACGGGCCGCGAUUCACCAGGUCGAUCAUUAAGUAAUGGAAACGAGCAACUCGUCGAGUAGAAUCGUUUACUCGAGAACCGGAGUUGUGCUCUAUCGGCGACGGAUGGUGCAUUACUCGGGGUAAGGUGCACACCACUAUCCCCCUCCCUCGUCGAGCUCGUUUCCCGGCAUUGAUGUGCUUCCUCGGCAGCGCGACGGCAAUUUUCUUGAUCACGCGACACAAAGGGCGGAAAUCAAUAAUACGGCGCGGGAGGAAAUACGUCCUAAAUUGGAGUACAGGCCGGACUACGUGUCACGUUAUUUGUCCUCCGAGCCAAUUCAGGCUCGUGCCACUGAUUCAUCAGUUAAACACUGUCGAUCGGUUUCGAUCGAGUGGUGAUGGGCUAUUAUAAUUCUGUUUCGCGUGAAAUUUUUUUUUAUCAUCCCCUAUUGAUUUGUAACUCGUUUGAAAAAUAUCGGAUAAGUUGUUUUCAUUCUUCGUGGAUUGUUUCGUGGAUGAUUGUUCAAUUCGGUUUUACGUUUGUUGCUUUCUAUUUCUUCUUUAAUAUUUAAUUCGACUCCUCCUAGAAGAUCCUACGACAACAAUUCGAAUCGUAUUGUUUUAUUUUAUUUGUCUUUUUUUGGCAUGGUCUUUUAUUAAUUUGUUUCCAACAUUUGAAUGGAAAUGUUUGUUCGUAUCUUUUGAAAAAAAUUAUGAUUUAGUUCAAUUAUUAGACUUAUCCUGCAUACUCGAGUUUGAAUCUCAAAAUUUCAGCAAGAAUUUAAAAUGCAGAUGCUUUAAGAGAAAAAAGGAAUUCUUUCUUCAUAGUAUAGAUACUUCACAAAAGAUGGGGAAGUCGUUUCAAAGAUACGUCUUUCCAGCAGAAGGAAUGAAAAAGAAAGAAGAGAGGAGAGUAAUACUUUGAAAGGAUCCUGGAUAUCUGGCUGCAUAUAUAAAUAGAGGAAGACAAGCCAGAUUCGUAUUAAAACUCCAGAUAUCAGGAAAUUCUACGAUUUUCACCGAGGGAAACAACGAUUCAACGAGGUAAUGGCCAUUCUUGUUGCCAAGAAAAUGGGUGCAACAGAAAGAUCGUUCGGUGAAAGUUGAAGAGAGUACAAUGUGCUCGCAUUGUGCGAAGUGCAAGAGCCGAUAACAGGGCACAAAAGGAAAACGUGGCCUAGAUCAGAACUGAAUCGGCGUGUGUGCACACACGGCUCUACCUUAUUCAUCCCUGGGCAAACUCUAUCGAGGCUGGAACGAGAGUUUGAUACACGAGGUGAGGAAGCAUUAUGAUCCUGUAAUGGGCCAAUAUUUGAAUUCGUAGGAUGGAACAUUGCCGCGGUUCACGCCCCGCUUCCCUUGCGGUUCUCCGUCCGAUCGAAUCGUAAUUCGAGUUUCUUGCGUUUGUAUGCGUGUCUCAUCGAGCUCGUUUCAAGAUAAUCGAAACUUUUAAACCUCGUUUUUCGAUUUGGCGAUUCUUGGUAAAGCUAUCUUUUCGUACUUGGAUAAUUUUGUAAUUUCUUGGAGAUAUUUAUAAAUUUUUGAAACGAUCGAGAAAGUUGGUUGGAGUACUCCUCGGUUGAUUCGAGGAUUCAUUUCUAUCUGAGAAUUACUAUACUCGUCUUCUAUGAAUUUCUCUCGAAAGUUGUGCGAUCCGUCCAGGACGUGUUGAAUGGAGUCACUGAUAUUAAAAAGAGGGAUCUUGGCUUGGUAUUUGGGUCGGUUAGUGUUUAAAGAAUGAAUUGGAAUUUCGUGUACCAGGCGCGGGGGUGUGCAUUCUGAACUUUCAAUGUACUAGAAUGCGCUGCUAUGUAUAUAAAUACACGCAGGAAUAUAAGUAUACGAUGCAAAGGGGAAGCAAUCUCUGUAACGUUUCCCCGUAAUAUCGCGUCCAACUUCGACGCACUCGGUGAAACUAUGGGGAUAUCGUGGACAGAAGGAACGAAACAAUUCCGCGCGGAGAAACACUUGGAGUGAUCGUAUGCAAAGCCAGAAAUGUUGAGGAAUAAGAUCGAUGCUACUGGGAUCGUUAGGGAAGUGUCACGUAUGCUAGAGAUUUGUUUAGGAAUUCUGGCUUCCCCCCACAGUUUACUUUGCAAAGUACUUCCUGUAGCGCACAGCCGUGUUAGAUUACUUCUCCCUUGUACACGCUUUCUUCGUUAAAUGAAAUAAGGAAAGUUUCAGUGGAAAUAAAUCAAUGAAGAGAUGAAAUUGUCGUAGCGUUGCAAAAGUUUUUCAUUUAAAAUUUCCGAAUAACUAUUAAAGUGAUUAACAAGUAUUAAUCGGAAGAAAUUGAAAGGCGAGAUAAACAAAUUGUAACGUGUAAAUAGUAGAAUUAUAUCUGUUAAUUCUUUUUCAUUUUUUUAAUUAUUAAACAAAUUUUACAGUAGGAUAAUUCAAUUCGCUUCGAUCGUCGAUAAAUCAACUCUCUAAAAUCGACUCUCUAAAGAUAUUCUACACAUUUAACAAUCUGUGUUAUGUUAUAUUGAUAUUGUAUUAAAAAUUUCUUCUUAUAUCCAAUUGAGAUUUCGAAUCUUUGAAUUUCUAUCGAUUCAUUCGUUCAAAUAUCCUUUUUAAAAUACGAUUAUUUCCAUUCUACAUUGAUCUCUCCACCUAGCCGUAUCAUAUCUCGUAUUACUUUGAAAUUACACUAGUGAAAGAUCGAAUCAUCAAUUUGUCGAGAAGAAACAAUGCGUGUAUCUCUGAGAUACGUCAUUUGGUUAUGCUCGUAGGCGAUGUGUAGAGUACUUUACUCGUCUAGAGUGUCUUGCAGCACCGAUUCACCGGCUGUUCAGUCUCACCCGUUCAAGGAUCCAUAGAAGCGUGUGCUCGCCGGCUGUCGUUACCAAGUUCUGGAUGUGUAAAGAGGUCUGUAGACCUCUCUUAGUUUCUGUCCUCGCGCUCUGUUCAAACGUAUCGAUAUCACUUCUAUCGAAAUUUAUACGACGUACGUAUCAAUCACCGGGGCGAUUCGAUGAAGAGAUUCGAACAAUCGACGACGAACAGCACCAUAUCGAUUUAUAGGAUAUAUUGACUAUUUUUUAAUUUUCUACUCGAAAGGAGCGUAAAAAAUAUUGUGAAUGAAAUUCGUCAGUAAACACUUCGUUACAAAGUUACGAAAGGCAAAGAUGCAACUUAAAUAGAUCGUGAAUUUUGAAACGAGAAUUUUUGAAAAGAAAUUAAGAAAUAUCAGGUAAAUAUAAAUAAAGUAACACACAUUCAGGCUGGAUUUGCUUAUAACGAGAUUUUUAUAAGCAAACUUUACGUAACAUGUUUCUCUUGUAUUCGCUUGUAGCUUAUGCUUUUGUAAUUUAGCCAGAAAAAUAUAGUUUUAUAUAUUACAUCAUAUAUAUAUGUUGACAAAUUAACUGGGAUAUCCGUUUGGAAGGAUAUUUUUCGUCAGAAGGAAACGAGCCUACAAGAUAUAUAUGUAUGUAUACUAGGGAGGAAUCGAGAAGCGAGUCACGAUCACGAAACGCCAUUCAUCGUCGUCGACGCUUUUCCUGGUUUCAGCCUCGCGACAUUUGCAACGUGACAAGAAGCCUCGAGAUGUUUACCCGAUCGUAUAUCCUCUCUCUUCGCUUUCCUCUUUAUUUCCUUCCGUUUACGCCAAUAUUGUUAAAUCCCUCAAAACAUUAGAUCCAAUUUAACCAAUGAAGAAAUGUAAUCUAAUCUGACUGAAAACGAACACUGAUAUACGAGAUGAUUUUUUUUAAUCGAUAGAUUCGAAAAUCAAUCUGAUCCUCCACGGUAAUGCCUUUGAGCUAAUGACAGAACGGCAAUUUCACCACCUUCUUCGACGAAUCAUCGUAUACAAAGUAUCACUGCUGGUGUUCAAACAUCAGCACCGCUUUUGACUCUACCAAGAGGAGAUAUACUCUGUAUAUACGCUCGCAACAUUUGUAAACGUUGCGAAACAAACAAACCGCCGUAAAAAUUAACCAACCGAUUGACAGGAUUGGCCGAUUUAUUCGUUCUCUUCGGAUUACCAUACACAGAGAAUCGAAAUUAUCUCCGCGGUGUUUAAGGAAAACUACCAGCAAUUACUUGUAUCGUCGUAAACCCACGUUCGAACGGUUAUUUUACCCCGGUCAUGGCUCGUAAACGAAGAAAAACGAUCGCUCCUUUUAUCACUUGCGCGCCCGUCAUCCCUCGAACGUGAAAGCGCGGAAACCAGGAAGCUGCUACCCUCGAACACGCCACAGGAGGCGUCGUUAAUUCGGUAGAGCCAGUAACCAGGCCAGGAGGAAUCUCGAAGAUGAGGCUUAGUUAUCCGCAACAACCCCGGUACCACGAAGCGACAAGUGGCUGCAGGGUGCGAGUUUUACGACCGUUUAACGGCCGAUUUAUCGGUCGUUGAAACGUGGCGAGGGGCGGGGAGCCUAAACACGGGAGCCUGGCUAUCCGCAUGCCGUUCCCCGGCAGAGGACGAGCCACGUGACAGGAACGGUGGCUAGAAGCGUUCGAUCCACGGGACGAUUUAUAGUUUCCGAUUUUCAAGUAGGCAUCAAAGGUUGUUAUUCAUUCGUCGCGCGUCCGCCUGUUUCCCCGAAGGUGGCUGCCUCGUCCACAGGCGGACGAUAGGGAUAUUUUCUUAUUGGCGUCUCGUGCGAGUCUCGCGCAAGGGAGAGGUCAACAUCCGUUCACCUCAUCCUCCUGGGAUUCCUAUCUUCGUUAGUCAUCUUCGAACAAAUUUCUUCGUGCGUGAGGGAGACGACAAAUUCUUCGAUUCAGCUUGAAUUACUCGAACAAGUUAUUUGCAUUCGAAGCAGCUUGAGAUGUUAUAUUGAAAUUAAGCAAUUUUAAUUAAUGUCGUUAAAUUUUUUGAGGUUGUAGGUGAUAAUUUAUACUUGUUGUUCUUUAAAUUCCUUUCUUCGAUAGGUUUCAAAUUUUUCAUUUGAAUGUACGUAUAUAAACUUAAAUCUUUUUUUUUUUUUAAAAAACGUCUAAAAACGUUCGUAUCGGAAUCCCCGUAUUCGUUUUAAUUUCAGAUUCAACUAUGUGCAAUUCAAAUCACGUAGACAUGCUCUUUCGCAAAACAUGAUUACAAAAACUUCCUCUAUUAUAUCCUCGUAGCCAGAAACCGAGCAAAACAGGGCGAAAUCCAUCGUGUAUGUUGGUCGACCGAAGGCUGCUUAAGCCAAGGAUGAGGGGAAAAUAGUUUAGCGAGAAUUUGAAAUUCCAUCCGAUCGAGUCGGGUAUUUCUAUCUAACGCGUGUCUCCUGAUGCAGGAAAACACUCGCAUGGCUGUGAACAAUUAUCGAUAAAUCGACGAGUUGGAACAAAUUUGAACACGGAUAGAUGGGAACGGGAUGAUUCCAUGGAUUCUUCUGUCUAUGAAAAAUGGAGAAUUAAUGAUCACGAAGCGUGAAUUAAGACUCUCGAGAUUUUAAUCUGUGUCGAUGAUAGUCGUAAAACGAUCGCGUCGAGUGAUAAUUUUAUAAUAUCUUAACGGAAUAGGAGGGAGAGGAAACGUGUGUCGAUUGUUUACCAUGACGGACCACUACCGUUAUGGUGGUUUGCCUCUAAUGGUUAGUGAAACUUUCCCUCUUUCGGGCCUCCAUUGAAAUGUCCAGCGAUUUCUUAUAAUGACCUCUGCAAAUUGAAAUACCGUGAAAUCAGGUUUUCACGCGCAUUGAAACGACCGACGAGAGUUAUUAAUCCUUUUCCGCUUGUGAGUUCUUAUGUGAUUAUCGACUGGUUAUUGUGUAGUUAUAAAGUUGUAUGCGCGCUCGCUCGUUUCUUGGAAAAAGUAGUCGUUUGAAUGGAUUUUUAGCAGAGCGUUAACGAGACUCGUUUUUUCCAUGCAUGUUUUAUCGUGUAUCUUUCGGGAACGUAACUGAAUGGAGCGUUUAAUGGAAAUUCGGCGGCCGUUACGCGCGGAAUUUUAAAAAAUUCUCCCCGUUGUCGAGAGAAAAAAAGAAAAGAAGAAAGGACGGAAUCGUUGAAUUACAUUGCUUUUUCAAUUUAUUAAUUUCGUUUUAUUUUCUAAAGGAAAAUUUUAUUUUAUUUUUUCUUUUUGCCUCUUUCGCUUUAUUUUCUUAGGUUAAAAUUUCGUUUAAUUUUAUUAUUUCACUUUCCAUUGAGUUUCAUUCUUAUUCUAUUCUAUUCUAUUCGUUCGUUCGAUGUGAAUCUAAGAAAAAAAGAAACGUCCACAUCCAAAUCUCGGUAUAAAGGAAUUAUUAAAUCGGCAUUUCACAUGCAAAUGUAUGGUAAUUGCUCGUGAACAAGUACUACCAAAUGCUAAUUACAGACAAUUGUUUGCCGUAUUCCAAAAUAGCCCAUGAGCCCGGUGAUUUCGAGCAUUACUGUUAGUAGUGCGUAUAUAUCGAGGAAAUGUUUGCAUAUCCUCGUGCAAAUUGCGAUUGUUCUCCAAAUUUUUCGUUCGAUUAUUAAAAGAUAUGUCGUAAAGUUAAACAUUCCAAAUAUUUUUCGGGAAAAGAUCGGCCAACAUCGUACAAAAUAUCAAAUAAAUAUCACGUAUAAAAAUUUCAUCUACUUUGUUGAUAAAAUCUUUUUGAGCUGAAAAUGCACGAGAAACACACCUCGAAGGACACAAAUCGCGCAUCGAUCAAAAAACAUGGACACGAUAUACGUAACAAACAGUUUAAUUUCGCGAAGCAAAUUAAAUUCGCGGGCCGUCCACCACCCACGUAGCCGAGAAACGGUGAGCCCGGUAAGCGAACGGCAAUCUCACGCCGCCAGACGCUUGUAAUCGCAACGAGCGUUUCGAAGGGUCGUAAAAGUAGUUUCUAUGUGCCAGUGGAUCAACGAUGCCGUUGGCUAUGCCACGCCAGACAACAGAGGAUGACGUAAACGCGCGUUGAUACGUCGCGUAAUAGCCGAUCAGAUAAUUUUCAUCGCUUCCAUCGAACCUGUCAAGUCGGUUGUCCAAGCCUGUACGCGUGGGACAGGCGUUGUAUACGUACGGUGGGUCGGUGGGUCGGCCAUUCAUUGAUAUGAAGACGUAAUUGGACCGGUUGACAGUUUCCGAGCAUUCAUUUGACGUGUGACAUGAUUCAGAAGCGUUCACCCGUUGUCACUUCUUCAAUUGCCUCCUCCGUCGCAGGCAAUCAUCGUCCUGGGCGAGAGGCCUCGCGAGAAUCGCGUCGCAAACUAACCUUCUCUUUGUCCAUCGCGAUUUCCUUUCUUAUCUGCCGUGCGUACCAUGCGUGUAACUUGAUGCAUGCCAAUGCAUCAUCGUGUGUGUUUCCUUUCCAAACGGAAGUUGGAGAGAUAGACGCGAGCUUCGAUGGAUAGUCAUUAGACGGGAUUGGAAUUACGUACACAGAGGGAUGAUCAUUUUGAAAUUGAAAUUUCUCGCGUUAUGGAUCGAGAGAGAGAAAGAGAGAGAGAGAGAUUUCACUGUGCAAUUGGUAUGAUAUGGUGCCAGUCAGUUAGAGCUUUGAUAAAAAAAGAGUAUCUUUUUUCUUUUUUAAUGAUGGAUGAUGGAUAAAAUUCGCAUUUAGAUAUUUGCAAAAGUGAAACGGAGGGUUUUUUAAUGGUUGGAGGAAUAAUGAAAGUUUGGAUAUUUGGAAAAAUAUACCGGAGUUUUUUUAAUUAAAAUUUGACUUUCCUCGCGGAUUUUAUAGAGGAAUUAGAAUUUGUACGUUCUAUGUUGUGAGAGAAAAAUGAAUCAAUGAAUUCAUUUUUUAUGCAGAUAAUGCUGCAUUCCGUGUAUGCAUCUUGAAAGCUGUCAGGUGUUUUUGCUCGAUUCUGUAGCAGGUUUGUAUAAACUUGUAAUCAGACUCUCUGUAGAUCGUUUUUCACGAUUUAUUCAAGUCUCUUCUUGUUUAGUCUUUUUAGUAUUAUAUGAAUUUGUUGCAGUAGAUAAAUUGCGAAAUCUCUUCUAAUGAUAUUAUCGCGAUAAUAACAAUAUUUGAUGAUCGGUUUGCGUUAGGCUGCAAUCGGUUUAUGUCGAAUAUAAAAGGAAAGCAUACAGCUUUACGAGCCUGUUCGCGUGUUUUAAAUGCAAAUAUUCACCGUUAUCACUUUCCGUUCCACGACUAAGAUGUAAACGUGAACUAUAAAGCGGAUACCACAUAACUAAUCAUCUAUCUGUGUACGCUUAAAAAUUAACAUACCAAUUACAAAAUAGAAACUGCAAUUUCGUUUAAAGCUGUAUCGUUAAUAAAUCAACUUUUCAAUACGUGUCGUUAUUACAAGAUGUCCAACAAAUGUUAAAUUGUAGAAAAUGUUUGCUCAUAUUCAGACUUUUUCUUUCUUUCUUUCUUUCUUUUUUUUUUUUUUUUUGUUUUCACUUUAAGAUUGCAGUUUCUUCUUAGCAACAAGUAUUUGCACCAAAGGAAUAUUUGUUCUUAUUGUUCCCAUUGAAACGUACUUCCUAUUUUUCUUUCCUAUUUACACCUUUUCAAAUAAAAUAAGCAACAAGCAGCGUACUGGUAUGAACACUUGUGACAACUUUUUCAAGAAACUGUCUGUACAACUGCACAAAGUAUUACAAAAAGUAUAUUCUUAUUUUCUAUAAUAAAUCUUUUCUUUUUUCUCUUGGUUUUUACAUUUCAUUUUUAUUACCAUCAAAUUCUUAUAGCAAUGAACUAUACUAUCGAAUAAUACAAAGAAUAAUAUAUACUUGGAUGUAUGAAUUAACCAAUAAAUACGUAGAUGGUGUAUAUAAUGAGUACAACGGCACGAAAAUAUUUUCCGUAACCAUUCCAAAAGAAAAAAACAUUAUCACAAAGUACUUCGUUGUUGCGAAACAACGUACUUCGUUGUUGCUUUACGUUUCAAAAAACAAGCAAUUUUCAGGGAUCCUGGCAUCGUCCGGAUCGAAUUACUUCCAAUCAAUUAAUCCAUCUUCGUCAACGAAGAAACAAGUCGCAAUAACAUAUCUCGCUUGUAACGUGAUUAAAUCGUUCGCAAGGAGGAACCAAUAACACGCGAUUCGCGAAACAAACCAAAAGAAUUACCUAUACUUGAGCAUAAUAUCUGCCCGAAGCAGAGCCCUUAAUAACACGUUUGCAAGUCGGAUCCAAGGGCAAGAUACGGGUAAGUUAAAAAGUUAAUCGUGGCCGAGAGGAAUGUGUGUAUACGGAACAGAAAAAAAUAUUCAACAGGGAGAAAGGGAAUAUGCUUUCGAGCCGGGACAGUGAUUAUGUUAAUCGUUACGCCAGGUUCCAGGUAUUGAUAACGGUAUAUCGAGACGGGUACGCGGCCUGGCAUGAGAUCGUGCACCUUGCAGCAGAUUAUACCUGGCUAACUCGAUGGUAAAUAGAAACCUUACGCGAUAACGAGCGCAGCGUUUCGUCUCUCGGAGGCAACAUCAGGUGAAUUAUCAACGCGGGUUUGGUAUUCGGCGUGGCUCGACGAAUACGAUGAAGCCUUCGCUACCACCACGUCCUGGAACCUGUUUAUCGAAGCGUUUAGUUGGAAGCGGUAAUUCUUGCCGAGUAUUAAUUGUAAUUAUACCCCCGCCGCUAAUUGCACGUUAUUAGAUAGCGGAGUGGCUGGCAAACAAACGCCAAGCGGUUGCUCGCCUCGUCCCCGUCCCUGCCACUCCGGUGAUGUGUUAACUCAAGACAUCAGCUGCAUGAACAAGCCCCCGGUUUCACUCGAGUUUUCGCGGUAUUUCUUGAACCGUUUAGCGGUAGAGAAGUGGUGGUUGGUAACGUAAUAUUUGACCUGGUUGAUUACCACAGAUUCCAUUAGAACGAAUUAAUGCGGUCGUAAAUAGAUAUUUCUUCUUGAGGCUUGUGUGUGGAUUUCUAUUUUUAAGAAGGAAAGAAUUUAAUCCUUUCACGAAUCGGAUUGAAAACCAAAAAAAAGGAAAAGCACACGAUGCAGAUACUAUUUUAUAAAAUCUCGAAAGAUUGAUGAGAAAGAUUACGCAUUUGUAAAUCCCAGCUAAUUGGAAAAGGGAUUUUUUUUUUUUUUUUUACCAAGUACAAAGUAAUUUCGACACAAAGUAUUCGUUUCGUCGAUAUUCCUCUCGAUCAAAGUAUUCGACUUCAUCGAGCAACCGACAUAAAUACAUAAAUACAUUGAAAAGAAGAUUUUUCAGGCAUCAGAAUUUUUAUAUUUCAAAUAUAUAUUCAGCGAGCGAUACGCGGACCACGAAGGGUCGUACCUUAUCAGCUCGGACGGGUCAUUCGAGCGAGAGAACAUCGAAAUAUUGCGCAUCGAGUCGUGCACGAGAUCGAGCCCUCGCCAUCGGUGUAGAAUAUAACGAGUCUCUCGCCGACCGCCCAGUGGAAAUUACAUUUUCGUUUUGAAAUUCGAUGGCGUUUCGAAUUUGUGUGUGUGUGUGUAUGUGUGUGUGUGUGUGUGUGUGUGUGUGUGUGUGUGUGUAUGUGUGGUUCUCUCUCGACACGUCCACGAUACGUAUCACGUAAUUGCGCUCUGUGUAUCCGUUUUCGUUGAAAUCGACCUAUUCGAUUUUUCGAUUGAUUCCGACCCAUCUGCUGAGAGAUAUCUCGCGGUCGAUCCGUGUAAUUCUGCCGAUUCCAGUAAUCAUAAUAACCGAUCUAUCUGUAUUGUUCGAUUCUACCAUGCACGAAAUCGAAUCGAGUUGGUUAAACCGGAUAUCUUUGCAAACGCAUUUUCUUCUCUUCUCGUGUUAUUCUCGGUUCAAAGAAAAGGGAGAAUAAUAAUAACGAUAAAUAAAUGCAACAAUAAGAUAGAAUAUUUUGGAUUGUUGAAAUAGCUGAAUUCUCUUCUGAUAUUUUCAAUGUAGAUAUACAUCGUCAUUUUUAUUAUAUCUCGCUUUUAAAAAUUUUUAAAAAUUUAAUCGAAUCUUUGUUAUUUGAUAUAUUUACUAUCGACUUGUAUUUCAAGCUUGGUAUCUCGUCGUAAUUUCAUUUUCGAAUAUCUUGGUUCGGUAACUUGUUGCACGAUGAUAAAUUUUUGAAAUGACGGUACACCUAUUGAAAAUAAUUUUUUCAAAACUUACAUCAAUAUUGUUUGGCAUAUUUUUAUUCAAUUUUUUUUUAUAUCGAUAAAACGAUUGAUGAUCACGCGAAUUAUAUUUUAAUCGGUCAAUUUCAAAUUUCAUAUUGAAUACGUACAAUAAACGAGAGGAAUAUUGAAGAGGACAUUUGGCUAUUAAAUUUUAAAUAAUUUUAAUCGUUCAUAAAAUCGCCCAUUUCACGUGCAACAAGCCAAUACAGGAGAUAUAAAAGACACGCAAUCACGGGUAAUAAAUGAAAUAACGAUUCACGCAGGGGAUGAAAUGUUAAAAUGCUUGAAUCGAUACGAGUCUUCGUGGUACAAGGAGACGAGCACAUAUUCGCGUAACAGGCUUGGAAAAGGGGAUUACGAGAUAUAACUCGAUUACAGAACCUCGAGUAUCCUUUAUAUUUCACUAGCGUGUUUUCUUUUUCCUUUGGUGAAGUACGCUUACGACGGGUUAAUUUUCUCCUGCCCCCCUCCUCUCCCUUUCGCCGCUCGUGUUACGUUCGUGAUUCUCGUACCUCUCUCGUACCUCCUAUCGUACACGUGGAAUAUAUCAGCGACGAAAAAUGUAAGACACGAAUAUCGAUAUCGAUGAACGUGUGUAUUAACGUACUCGAUAGAAAUCCGUUAUUUUCUGGAAGACAGAAGGAAAAAAAUUGAACAUCCGGUGAUUAUCUCGAUAAUUUUUAUUGCAUUGAAAAUUUUGUAAAGAAAAAAAUAUACAUUAUACGACGGUACAAGUAUUUAUUAUUUUUUUUUCUCGUGAAAAGAUUUCCAAACAUUUCAUCCUUAUUUAACAUUUUGUUUCGUCAUCAAUUGUUAUUUUCUUCCUCUUAAAAAAAAAAAAAAACAUCAACCUUCGUCUCACCGCAUCUUCUAAAUCAUCUAAAUUAUUCCAUCCUAGUGUUCCCUCUCCCUCGACAACUCGACACGACAAGAGCCGAGAAUAUCUGAUAAUAUUCUAUCGUGGGUUCCAUUUGAGCACCGCUGGGCUAAAAUCAGCAUGACAAAGAAUAUGGAAGGAACGGUGUAGCAAUAGAGGCUGUGCGCUUCAGCCAUGGUGUAUGUUGCAGCUCGUACGAGCAAAGGGGUGGUGUGUGGCCAGCGAAAUCUGUCACCCGGAUGUCAAUCAAUAUUUCGAGGGGUUCGCAAUAGUCCGCCCCCUAAACCCCCUUUUCAGGCUUUCCCUUAUUCGAAACCCUACCCUGUGUCCCGCGUGCUCAGCUCUCCCGACGCGUCGUGUGCCGCCAGUAGAUCAACCGAUUCCUACCGCUGCCCUGACCUCCCUUCUUUCUCUCCUCUCGUAUUUUCGCAACCACCCUCGCAGCGGUGAUUAAUUUCCACUAGGAAAUUAAUCAGAUGGGAAGAAAAUUUGGCGUGCGUGGACGUGGCCGGGCCCGCGUGCAAUGAUCCACGCCAACAGAUGGGAAGACAGCGGCGGAUUAAAGCGCGGCGACGCUCGCCUCCUUAAUUUACGACGCCCACGUACACCAUUAGGGCCUGUUUCAUAAAUCACGACAGGUCGCCGCGCCGAAUAUCGGGUUAACGCUAGUUCAUCUGUUAUUUACGAUCCGCCCGUACUUUCCGUCGCGUGUAAACUCGGUUUAUCUUGUUUCUCUCUCUCUCUCUCUCUCUUUCUCCCUCCCUCCUCUGCGAUCGACCGCGGUAAAAAGGGGUUGAUCCUUUCGUUGUAACGACGAACUCGUCUCAUCACCGUCCAUUCACGUAGCUUGUUAUCGUACUCUCCGUUCCGUGAACUUCUUCUUCUUUCUCGAAGAAGGAAAACGAAAAAGGCACCGAUCCUCGUAGACGACUCGAAGAAGUCGUAUAACCCGCCUCCUCCACCGAACCAAUUUGUCUCCGGUCGGAAGAUCGAUUUCAUCCUGGUGGUAGUCUAUGGUGCCGUUGGCUACGAGCGAUCAUCUUCUCGUAAACGAACUACCCUCCUCCUGGACCCCCUCGAGGAGGAGACCUCUUUAAACGAUCGACCAGCGAAUAGCUCGGUCUAUCGAUCAACCGUUGCCGCUCAACGCUCUUCGAGCAGACCGUGCACCGAAUAAUUGCGACACAGAUGUUACGGGCGUUUCGAGCAAGCGGAGAAAGCGAGGCGUACGAAGAAAGAGGGGGGUUGGGUCGUAGAACGUAGUCGGUAAUUUUCAAAUUAUAUAUAUAUAUAUAGUACAUACAGAGAGAAAGAGAGAGAGAGAGUGAAACCUUAUGCUCGACAAUUCUGACGUAACCCCCCUAGAUGUCAUCCCUCUUCUCUCUCUCUCUCUCUGUCUCACACUCACGUACACACACACAUUCUCUCUCCACUUCGAUAUCGUCAUAACCGUUAACGUUAUCUGCAGAAUAUUACGAAGCAUGGAAAGGGGCCUGGAUGAACGGUUCCACCAACGUGGAGAGAACACCACCCGGCCCCCGUACAUCGUGCAUGUCCCUCAAAAUAGAGUUACAAACUGUAACUACGUUUCGGUGCAUUACCGCCGCGUUGCACGGGGGUUGGCCUCCAUAGGAAUUCGCGGGGGGCGCGCGCCAUACGAAUCGAUCGCGGUUACCACGCUUUUCACCCCGGGGGUUGAAGCGCGCGCUAAGCUCGAGAGAAGGCUGGGCUUCGGCAGAUCGUCGAGCCACUUUAAAAUUUAAAUGGGCCUUUUGCCGCGAUUCCUGGGCCAACGGUGUGCGUAUAUUACCUAGGUCGUCCCUUCGCCACCGGCCAAGAAAGACAAUAUGCGUCAACCCCCUCCCCCGGACGAAAGCACAAAGUUACGAAUCAAUUCCGCUUCCUCUGGUUAGAAUUGGAAUUUAUGCAAUAUUCAUCCUUGGAUUUCUUCUUCGUUUCCUUGUACCUUCCUCUACGGUUCCUCCUAUAAAUUGAACGUAUUAAUAUCUUUGUUGUAGCGAAGAAUUUGCUCGAGAGGAAACGAGUCUCGUAUUCAAACGAGGGGUCCCCGGAAAUUUGCAACUGGUGGUGAAUUUUUACUAGAUGAAGUUUUAUGCGGACAUGUUCGCAGAGUUAUUCCGAUAUAUGGGGUUGAGAUAUCAAAAUCGAAUUGAAUUAAUUUCAGCCCUUGUGUUCCGAUUACUUCGAUAUUUUUUUGAUUUCGACAACUUUUUAGUAGAAUUUGAAUAUCUUUCUACCAGCAAGAUAAAGGAUUAAAUGUGAAAAACAAAUGUACGUAUUUUCAAAAACAAUUGUGACAAAUUAAAAAUAAACAGGAUCUGCAAGGAUUGUUGUUAAAUCACAAGUAGAUACCAUUCGUGUAUCUGUCGAUCAGCUAUCUCUUUCGAGCUAAGCCUAUCCUUCCGGCCCAUAUUUCUGUAACGGACAUGUUCGCAGUUUGGGUUACCAUUCUCUCGUGUAAGAGGAUUAAGAUAUUACUCGAGCGUGGCGGCGUGCAAGCGUCAUGAAAACACGAGCUUUAACACGCUUUAUUCGCUUCGUGAAAAUUCACGUCUGAAAGUGCAACCCCCGUCCGUAAGGCUCCCUCUCGUGUCUGAGGGUUUACGCCGCGCGGAAAAGAGGGUUGGCGAGCAUAAAAUCGCCCGUGUACACGCGUGUGCAUACACCUACUUGCGCCUCCUCCUUUAUCCACUGACUUCUCGGAACGGAUUUCCUAUUUCCUCUUCCGUGCACGCCACCGUGCAUUUAUUGAAAAUGUUUCUAACGAUUUUAGUCCCCGGAUCCCUUCUUGAUAUCUUUUGCGAGGAUAGUCAGAUUUCGAGAUGUUGGAACGAAUCCAACGGAAAUGCUUUUACCGGAUAAGGAUUAAGACUUGCUCGUUCAUCUUGAGAGUGAUAGAGGGUCUUUAAAGAUUUCUGUACCUCGCUUUACGAGGAUCUAUAUACGUUUUAUUCGCGUUAUAUCCAAAUGUCUCCGUAGUUUCUUCACGAUUAUUUUAAUUAUCUUACGAUUUAGGAUUUUAAUUCGGUGAAAAAUCCCCUUACUUCAAGUUUUCUUUUAUCUAUUUAUUACUCGUCGCGACCAUUUCGUCUAAUAAAUUAAGAAACGUAUUCCGCGAGAUUCCAUUCAAAAGAAGAAAAAAAGAAAAAUAGAAAGAAUCUCUCCCAAUUUACUGAUUUCGCAAUUCGUCUGUCUCUCUUCCCGAGAGAAACGAAAAAUGGCGAUACAUUAGCAAGAUCGUAGUAAAUGAUCCCCUGAACGUGAUUCCGCAUAAACAGCCGAAACCAUACGGUGUCUUAUCUACCCACCACUACGGGAACCAUGCUCCUUUCGAAGCGGAAACGAGCGAGUCGAGCACCGUUCCGUUUAUCCAUCGUCGCUCUUCCCGCGGAUGCAUUAAAUUCCCACACUGAUACUGCGUCUUCGUGGAAGCAACGCCGUUACAGGAUGCGUUACGGCGACACAAGGACGACGACGUCGACGGCUACGAAGACCACGACGAUGGCGGCGGUGCUUUGAGGGCGCGGAGUGCCGCACUCGACGUGUCACACGGCGCCCUCUAACACUGGCGUAGUGCCGUCUCGAAUUAUUUGGACCAUUCUCUUUGUCUCUCGAACCCCCGGGAAUUUUUUACCACCGGCACACAAUGUUUACCCCUCCCCUCCACCUCUCGAGGCGUAUUGACGCGUCCCAGGCGGACGAAUCACCGCGAUCCGUUUCGCCUGCAUUCCACGCGAAACUUGCGAGAAAUCUCUCGUAACCUUUCAUUACCUCAGACGUACCGAAAGAAUCGAAAAACCGUUGGUGAAAGAAAGAGGGAGGAAGAAGGAAGGAAGGAAGGAAGGGAAGGAGGAGGAGAAAGGAGAAGACGAAGGAAGGGAAGAAGUCGUUGGAGGCUACGCCAAUGGCAAGCUAGCCGGCAAUAGCGCGUGGCGGCGUCGACGAUGGGGGUGAUUCCCCUCUUCUCCCUUCUCUUCUUCUUUCCUUAGCACUGCCACCCUUGGCUGCUGCCUCCCCCCACCGAGCCCGGCACAGGGCAGAGUCGUACUACUUUGAUCGCCACUCAAACAUUUUUGCUACCCACCCCCGCGCCCGCUGCUAGCUUCUGCUGUUGCAGGGCCGCCUGUAACGGGGAACUGUGCAUUGCUUGCCACCAACUAAUUACAGUGUGGAUCAAAGAAUUCAUCGACGCGGCCGUCGAGCCUUUCGACGUGGCUUUCUUCGUGUCUAUACGCGUAUGUGUGCAUGUAUAUGUAUAUCGGAUGCGUGUAUGUUGGUACUCGUGGCGGUAUGGAUGGAUACGUGAAUGCGUGCGUGCGUGCAUGCGUGCGUGAGCGCGUGAGUGAGUGACUGGUCUAGGUAUCGUGCAUGCGCCGAUGCUGCGGGAAAAGAAUGGCGCAAGAAGGGCGCGAAAGGGUGAGAGCCUGGCCGAGAGAGAGGUGGACCCUUGCACCCUGCGAACCUGUCUCCCUGCACGCUUCGUGUCUGAGUAUUUCUGGACACGUUGUUAUACGAGAUACCUGUGCUUGUUGCACAAUUUAUUCGAAUGAUACCAUAGAUAGCGAUGGGCAGAAAUUGAGAGAUGUUGUUUACAAAUACGUCAAAUAUUCUAGAAUUAUUUUAAUGAAUUCAGAAAAAUUGGAUAUAUUCACGGUUUAAUUAUCAAAAAGGAGAUUUUGUUCUGUCUAUUGAAAGAACGAAUUUAAACAUGAUAAAUAUAGAAUAUUCUAUAUUUAUAGUCGUAAACUAUAAAUUUUCCUAUCUUUAUACCCUACACAUGAAAGCACGGUGUGAUGCAAUUUGAUCGCAAAUUAAUAUCUGUUCUUCGUUCCCAAACCUAUUUAUUAUCAAGUCUGAUACGAUUAAUGCGAUUCCAUCCUUCAAUGUCGAAAAAAAUGCAACAAACGAUAAUCUCUCCGUUAAUAGCAAAGCGGAAAUUGCGAUGUUGGUAAACAUCGGAUUAGGUCAAUCCUCGACUAACCUCGACUAACCUCCUCUCCACCGUAGACUCUCCACCCUUCCCCCCUUCACUCGGAGAAUAAAGCCUCGGACAUUCCACGCUCUCUCGCGCCAAACGUGCACCGGAUUCAUCCCACGGGACAUUGACGCGCAAUUAACAAUGGCAAGCGCGUAUAAUCCGUAAUACGAUCCACAGUGCAGAUCCACAGGCCGUCCGUGAUAAAUAAUCCGUUCCGCGAUAAAGACUCGAAUAUCUGUUUCCGCGGUUAAUGCUGCUUUGACUCGACUUUUCGUUGGAAAAAGGAAAAAAAAAGAACGCGGUCUGAAAUUGUCGGAGAAUAGCAAGCAACUCGUUCUUGGAACGAGCGCACCAACACACAUCCCGCCACCAUGUUUCAUUAAUUGUAGAAUAAAACGGAACAGCCGUGGGACGAGGGGGCGGCGGGUCGGAGGGGGAUGGCUUUUGAAUUUACUCUUUAACCGCCGCCCGACUUUUUCAACGGACGUGUCCCGAUCGCAGAGAUUCGUUUGGUCGUUUCGACGGGCCGGGAAAUCAGACGAUUGCAAAUGAAUACUCGAUCGCGAGGAUGAUUUAUUCAACCCCGCGGAUAUCCGUCAGCCGUGUGUCAGUAAAAAAAAAAAAAAAUAGACAAAUUUGCGGGAGAUCGAUGCCAAUUCGAACAACCAAAUACGAAGUAUUUUUUUUUUCUCUCUUCUUGUUCUUUUCACCCCGUUGUUUGCUAUACGAUGACUUGAUGACUAGACUAGGAUAUUUAAAGAUUUUUAAGUUUCCUUCUGUUGUGUAAAAAUUAUUAUAUAUAGGAAAAUGAAAAGAAUCAAUUGAUGAUGUCUCGAUUCGAUGAUUUUUCGUUAUUGAAGUAAGAAUACAAGUAAGGGUGAGUGAGAUAAAUUUACAAAUUUUUAUUCGAAUUAUCUAACUAAGGGAUAUAAAAGGAUUGUUGCCCUAAUUCUUUUGAAUUAAGAGUUUUCGAUGAUCGAACUUUUUAUCAAAUAAUUAUCAAAUUACCUAUUUUUGUUUACCUACUUUUGAUUAAUCGUUGACUGAAUAUUUAUGAAAUUCUGUUCCAUAUUGAACGGUCUAACGGGGUCUAAUUCUAAUACCAGAUAAUCGAAACUCCUAGAUAAGCCACAGGAAUCGGGAACAUGGCUCUUGAGACGCGCAAUUGUUUCAAGAGCGAGUCGACUGAAAAAUGUUGGUUAGUUUCUGCUACGUAGGCUCGCGUGCUCAUUUGCCAGCGGCUGAACAAGGCAGAGACCGAUGCUUCAGAUGCUGCUUCAGCAAUUUUCACCAUUCGUCCGCAAUUGGAUACGCAGACGACCUAGACGGAAGUUACGUUUUCGUAUUGGUAAUAAGCGAAACAAAUGUGUGGUUGAACUUCUCGUGCAAUUAACUGUGAUUCUGGAAUAAUUCGUAAUUUUUAUAAUUGAUCAAGUUUAACUGAAUCAUUAAACAAUUCGUGAGAUAUAAUUGUAUAAAAGACGAAACAAGAUACAAGUAACAAAUUCUUAAAUAAUUCAUCGUGUUGCAAGCAUCUUUAUUUCUUUAUGAUUUUAGAUCGGAAAAGAUUUUAGAUCAACCUUUAAGAUUUUAGCUUCAAGAAAUUUCCAUAUGUUCAUGCAAUAUUUCUUUUCUAUAAUUAAUGAGAGUUCAUCGAUCAACUUCCUGCCUCAAAUUUCCUUACAAGAGAUAUAGAGAUAUAUCUAUCAAUCACAGCAAUGCAAAUUCGAGUUCCUCUCAUGCAACUUUCAGAAGACAAAUGUUAGAAAUCAAAUCAUAGUUCGCAAUCUGUGCAAUAUUGGCUUCCAUAAAUAAAACGACUCGUAUCUCCAUCGCUGUUGAUUUGCAAAGUUCAUCCAAACGAUUCGUUCCAAAUAUAUUUUUCAACGUUUCAUCGUGGACGAAUAUUCGAUUCUUUACUCGUCAGAUAUCAAUAAUAGAUUUUAACAUAUUAUUGUUAACUCGCUAUAACUUAAAUUUACCGCGUCGAUUCAAUUAUUAGCAUCAUACUGCUAAUCAUGAUGCUAAAAUUAUACAUUUUAUCGUGGAAUAAAAUCGAGCUUCUUCAUUUUCGAGUUUCUAAGUGAUUGAGAUUUCUUAAAAAAAUUGGAAAAUAAAUUAGAAAUACGAGGGAAAAUCAAAAAUCAUUUGAUAGGUAUCUAAAAUUACUAUUAAUGCUAAUACAGUAUUACAAUUUCCGCAGGGAGGACCGAAAGACUUUCGAGUCUUCUUCGUGAGUCCUUUGGGCAGUAGCGCACCCACGUACCCGAGCUAUUUCAAAACAAAUCUCUCCCUUAUCCAUUCACUCCGUACAUAUAACGGGCCAAAAAAGAAAUUUUAACUAUAAUUUAAAGUCACGAUAAAGUCUGCUGAUAUAAUCUCGAGCCUAGUAUGAAAUCGUAAAUGCAGUAAUAUGUCAAUAAUAUAAUAUCGUGAUGAGCAUCCGGCAAGAAGGAAGAUUGAACCAUCGAGAACGUUAUUCACUCCCGUGAACUCGAUUCGGAAUUCCCUCUCUUAAGAUUUUUCUCACGAACGUCCGAGGGGGUAUGUCGUUUUCAGACGCGGGGGUGGAUCCAUCGAAAAAGAAACGCAAAAAAGGGGACGACGUCGGUGACAGGCGGUGGAUAAGGGGGGAACACGAGGAAAAUACGCUUUUUUCUCGAUCCUUGUCGCUUUCUUAGACGCGACGAAGCGAACGUCUUCAGCCCCGAUUCGUUUCGAUCGUUGACUCGAACUUUUUCUUCCCACCGCUCGUCUCCACCACGCCACCAACGUCUCCGACGGAUCUCUUCUUCGUAAACAGAGCGGACGAAAGGAGAACAGAAGUGUGCGACCCUCGGGAAAUUUUCGAAUCGCGAUCAUCGAGGCGGGAGUGUCCUCUCUUAUGGAAAAUUACGCCUCGGGAUGUCUUUGAGAACGUUCGUUUCGAAACGAUUCAAAGGUAACGAGAGGCUACUUUCUCAGCGACCGAUCGUUUCGUUUUUUCGAAAGGGCGAAUUUGUGAAAACUCAUUUUGAGAAAUCGUGUUCGAAGGGGAUAUUCAAUGCGUGAUUUUUCUGACGUUUCGAAUUUGAUUCUUUCAGAAUCAAUUUCAAUCUUUGAACUCGUAGAUAUACGAAUUCAAAGAAAGUUUUUAAUUACAUCAUAUCAAUUCUAAGAAUAUUUUUUAAUUACCACCGAACUACUCGUUGUUCUCAUAGCAUACGAUAUUUACUCGUACGAUAUCAUAUUUAUUAAUUGCUGAACGGUUAAAUAUCCUUUGCAAGGAUUCAUACAUCACCCAACGAUAAGCAUGGCUCUUGUUUCUUCUAAGUAUGCAAACUACAACACGUUAACUGUCUCUCACUGAUAACCUUCAACAGCAAGAAGACAAAUGCCAGGGAACAGUACCGAGUAAUUAAACUUUAUCGAACACCAUUUCCUCUCAAAAACUCACCCCCUCCUCCCCUCCUUUCCCUCCAUUGAAAAAUUCUCCACGCACUACCGUAAAGUAUGUACUUCUUUCCGUCGAAUCGAUUCAACAAAGAUUAAAAAAGAGUAUUUCAAAUACCGCGAAACCUCUCUCCAACAGAGAGAUCGUGCCAAUUUUUGCCUGUCCUAAUAAUAAUCGAGUAUUAUUCGCGAAUUUUCCAAUCGCAGAUUGCCCGUUGAAAAGAUAUAUCCUCGAGUCUCAUCGAGAGUAUAUUUCUGACCCUUUUUUUUUGUCCACACUCGCGAUGUAACAGCGCACUCGACGAUCUUUCGACAAAGAGAUUUCGGUCCUCCUCGCCAUUUCAGCAAACUCUCUGUCGCGCUGAUUUCGAAAGGAAUAAAGAGAAAGCGAGUCGAGAAAGAGGAAGAAGAGAGAGAGAGAGAGAGUUUCACGAUAGGCACGCGAAACACGACGUCCACAAGUCGAAGAGGGUGAUCCGGGAAAGAAAUAGCGAAAUCGUAAUUGGAUUGGAAGAGGAGGGCGCGAGAAGAGGAAGCGAGGCAACGAGGCGUGGACGAAGAGAGCGGAAGGAGGGGAGGGAUCAUCCUCUUCGGCUUCAUUGGCCGACCCCGGCGAUGUCACAAAGUAUAAUACGAACUAAUUACCCCGUCGUCGGCAAAGCUGCACUCGACUGCCACUCCGGGACAAUGAGUGGCCACUUCCGCGAUGUUUUCUGCAUACGCGGCAUCGGGAGCCAAAGGCUUCUCGCGGCACGGCCGCGAAAGAAACGCGGAUACGCGGUGGGAGGGGCGCCCCACCACCCCUUUUCGAGACUUGUCUCUUAGAGGGUGAGCUAGAUAUAUAUAUAUAUAUAUAUACACACGCAUAUAUACAUAUAGGAGAGGAAAAGCGAAAGAGCAAGAUGAAGAUGAAGGCCGAAAGAAGAGGGUGGCGAUGACAAGGCACGAUGGUGAACGAAAACGCAACGACGGGGAAGGGGGAGGCGCGAGUGGCGCGGUGACAAAGACAAAGAAGGAGGAAGAAGAGCUUCUUUUUGGUUGAUUAGCCCCCGCGACGUGAAAGAUAGCGAGCCAGAGCGGAGAGUACACCUAUCGUGACGCUGUCGCCACAAAGCCAGCCGCUCUCUCUCGUCAACGUGGAGGGAUAAAUCAAAGCAGGUACCAUCCAACGUGCACGAUGACCAUCGUGCGAAUCUCUUCGGGGGAAAAAUACUGGUAAUUAGCCCCUUAAGCAUCCGUGCCUACCCACCGCGCCCUGCACAUGCCUCUCCCACACCCGCCUCAUCGCCGUCACCCAUCGGCAUCGACGCGUACCGUAACCGACGACCCUCCCCACCCGCGUGGCCGCGCGCGAGUCCCUCUUUGUGAAACGAGAGCGAGUUAGAGAUAGAGGGGGAGGGGAGAGGAGAGGAGAGGCCACCGAUUCGACGACAUUAUCGUUGUGUACUCGGCUACGUGGGUGGAGAGUCGGGACCUAUUUCCCUCCCCGCGGCUGGUGCACACCGUGUCACAUCCAUGCCGACGCCAUACGCGCCGUUUGGUCCCCUACGAGGCGAGUGGGUACGUGGCUGAUGGAACGGCGGAGGCGUAUGGGGGAUCGACGGGGGCGUGUAGUCGAGGAAACUUCAAAGCUCCCGAAACGAUUGUUCGGCAACGCUCCCGCGUGUUCCUCGCGUACCUCGAGAGCACCGGGGCGUUUCGAGGAGGGGGGAGGGGUAAAGUACCAACGAAUAUACACCUACCCCUUUGAUUACCUCGCCGGUGUACACUCUCCUUGGUCUUCUUUUUCCUUUUUUCCUUUCUUUCUUUUUCUCUCCUCUCUUUUUCUCUUCUUCUUUCGACAAAAAGGAGAAAGAGGAAAGGAGUGAAAUGAAACGGAGAGGAAGAGAGAGGAGGGAGGGAGAGAAAACGCGAAGGAGAGGAGAGCAUAAAGUUGCAUACGGCGGGGAAGGAAAGGGCGAGGCUCUCGUGCCGUGCGGGAACGGUGGAAAGAAAAAAGGGUUGGAGGACCGUCACCGAGAUGAAGAACAAGAUGCUCUGCGUGAUGCAUCUAACCAGAAGGGCCGUUCACGUGUAUGCGGCGCGCGUUACGUGUGGCCCCGCGAGAGAGAAAGCCGAGCCGGUGGAAAAAAAAGAAGAUUCGUUGGUUUUUACGAGCUCUCUUUCCCGUUUGACCCCCGUGCAUCGUCUUGCGCACAAAGUGAGAGGCUCGCUGGACGAGGCUCGUGAUAAUUAAUUCGUUGUAUCGACCUCUUCAACGAACGGUUCAACGCAUGCGAUGCAGAGUUACGUGUCGAGUUGUUGAGCCACUUCGUCCUUUGUACGUGGAUUUAGAUCAAGUUUGAAAUUUAUUUUCUCGUGAUUUUCUCGCAACAACAACAACAACCUCCGAUCCAAUAUCGGGUCGAUGCAUGAACAAAUUUGCGGGGGGACAGAUACGGAAGAGAGAAUGAAAAAGCGAACAGGGUUAGAACGCAAGGUGUAGAACGGGUCAAUCGAGAUUAGUCUUGAUGGCGAAUCCACUCGAAACACGAGGCAGCAUGGUACGGGGGGAGAAAUACAAGGGGAUAUAUCUCGAUGCAUUAUUCAUAAGACUGUUUCGAUUCCGCGGAUAAUCGCCAGCUACUAUUUCACCGGUAGGCAGUAACAAGCAUUCAAUAGAGCGGCCAUACCCCUCCCCACGGUUUAUUAAUUUCACGUGGAGAUUUUUCGUCGACAAUGCCAGUCCGUCGCGCGAAAAGCAAGUCGAUGCAACCCACUGUUCCACGACACAAUGGUCACGUACGACUUCAAUGCCGAUUCAAGAGCUAUUCAUCAGGGCGCAUCGCGCGCGAGUACGGCUUAUCUCGUUUCCUCGUCCACGAAGGCACGUCUGCUCGCGUUCCAACGACUUCCCAUUGUACGGUACGCUCGCGCGACCGAGCCGAAACACUCGCGAAACAACCGCACGCGAAAGAACGAAACUGGCGACCAAGGAAGCAUUUGCAGGCAUUUAAUCGUAUGCCCGGAAUGAGCCCGAUCAACGCGUAUAAAUAAGUGUCAGGGCUCUCUUCGUUAUCCCUUCUACCUACCACGUGCUUCUUUUCCUCUUUUUUUUAACCCCUUAGGGGAGAAAGGCAAGAGGAUUUAUACGCUAGGUGGUGAAAAUUUAUCUGCUGCUGUCGUAGAUACCAUAUGCGUCUAUAUAUUUUUUUUACUUAAGGAAAAGAAGUUAGGUAAGUUCAUUUUUAUAAUUUUUGUCGCGAUAAAAAUUUUCCUCCUUUGUCGAAAUAACUCUUCCUUAACGAAUUCUCGAUAGUUCUCCUAACUCCCUUCGAACCUAACUAAUUAUUCAUUUUGUCACGUAUCUACGCUCUUACGCUCAUCUUGGCAAAAGUACGCCGAGAUUUUUUAAAAAAGGGAACUUUGAAACGAAAUUCUCGAUAUUGCGUUCUCGAGUGCUCGAUAAAUUUUUCCCUCUGCGUAUAUCCAUUUACGAGGAAGAGAAGAUGAAUCUCUCCCUUCUCCUCCCUCCCCCAGAAGGAGAAAAUCUUACAAUUCCAUAAACUCGAGUGCAGCUCGAGCUCUCGGCCCAUAAAGAUACAACGAAACCGUCCGAUCCAUCCGACGAGCAUUAACGAAUCGAGCCAAUUUUUCAGCGCGUAAUAUUUCGACGCGGCUUCCAUUUAACGCGAUAAGCGAUCGCGCCCGUGGUGGCAUUCCUUUCAACGAAAGAGACGUCUCGACCAACGAACCGCGGGGAGGGGGAGCAACCCUGAAACUCGGAUUGCCCUCCCCCUCCCCUAUCUGUUUAGAGACCGUCUACUAUAUUACCGCGACUAAUGGUAAUGACGCUCGUAAUUCUCGGCGAUAGUGGCGGGGGCAUGGGUCGAAGGGAGACGUGUCCGAGGCCCGAUACCAAAUGAGUUAUACCGUCGAAGCGGCUACUUAGCGAGGUAUCUCCGCGGGGGGGAGGGGCCGAAUCACGCGAGAAAAGGUAACAGAUUGGUCGAUUUUCUAGAUGAAAAUGCGGCAACGUGUCUCAAGGAUGGAUGUACGAGGGUGCAAUUUUGGGAUGCUGCAUUUCGUACGAAACGAGAAUGAUUGGACGCGAAGGCAGCAAGAUGAGAUAUUGGUAAUCCAACGGCGGAAGUGUUAUAACUUGGCGUUUUAAAUUAUUUUUUAUUUUUCAUCGACAUUUCCUAUUUUAUUGCGCUUCAUCCAAGGAUAAGCUCCAAUGCUUUUAUAUCAUCUCUUAAGAAAUCCAUCUCUUAAUGUGUUGCUCUAAAUAGUUGUUUACUGUAGCUAUAGUUGAUCGUCUCAUAAAGAUCUCCAAUCGGUAAAAAGCUUUUUUAAUUUUCAUUUUGAAAAACGAACGGACCAGACAUUUCAUUUUCUUAAAAAUUUCUAUCGAUUUAAGUCCUUUUUCUCUUAUGGAGAAUUUUUAAUAUCGCGGAUUUCUUCGCCAGCACGUAAGAGUUGAGCGAGAUUGUGAAAUAUUCCGUCACGAAGUAUAUGUGAAAAAUGAACGAGAUUGUGAAAUAUUCCGUCUCGAAAUCGAUACGAGAUAAAAGAAAAAAAUAAUAAUCGAAUAAAAGAUUAAUCAAAACACAAGAACAAAAGAAUAUUUCAAAAUCACACAAACACAAAUACUUUCCACUCUUAAAUCAGAAUCUAAACUAAAAAUUCUAUAAUACCGAUCUUGAAAAAUCCCUCCCCCUUCCCCUCCUUAUCUCCAUGCAUCUCCAUCAUCUUUCGCAAAUCGACUCCCCCACAUUUUGCGUUUCGAAGCGGUCCAUCUUUUUUCGAGAAGAUAAACAGCGAAAGAUAAACCGCUCGAGGCGACGAUUUCGAAAUCCUCCUCUGAAACAGAAAGCGCCUUGGUCGACGGUCGAAAAUUCGUAGCCAGCAACGCAGGGAUGAUAAUUCGAACCGGUGUGUACCGCAACACAAGAUGGGAGGGGGAAUAAUCGGGGUACGAAGUAUCGAUCAAAUAUGUUAAAUCGAACAUGCGAGGUGGAACGUCGGUUCCGUGGAAUCGGAAUUAAUCGCAGGCAUCGCGAGCCUCCCCGAUCGGUCGUGUAAUCAAUUGCAUAUUCAACGGCACCGGGGGGCGGAAAAAAAAAAAAAAAAGAGCACGGCAAAACCCGGGCCAAUAUCAAUUCAUCAAGGGUUAAGGGAUAAUUCGCAGCGGCAUUGCGGCGUCACGUGGCCGCCGAUUAUUGCUCGCGAAAUGAAUCGUAAAUUUUCCAUAUACAAAGGGAGCUGGGCUGGGUUGGAGGAACCAAAUGCGGUGGUUUUGAAUUCGCGGGAAUGGAAAAUAUAGAGGUGAGAGGAAAAAUUUCGCGCUGCGUGCAAUAUCGCGGGUAUAUAAAUUGGCGAACUGUUGCGGAUAAACGUUUUAAUCGCGGUGUUAACCUCCGCCUCGUGCGGGGCGGCUCCUUUUCCUUUUUCUUUGUCGGAUUAUCUUGCAAGCGACGGCGGUGGGACACUUUUAAUCAGUUAAAUAUUUGUACGUUUGGUACAUAGGUGCGUGGCGGUUCGCCUCGUUGGAAGAAGAAGCGGCUUCUUAGUGCUAACGUUUUGUUCCCGCCGACCGGUUAUUUGCUACUGCAAUUAAACGCGUGAUAAGUUUGGUGGAUGGAAAAAUAUUUUUAAAUUUAUUUUCGGUAUGGAAUGUGGGAUGCAGCGGUGAAAAAAGGAUGAAAGUAAUAACAAAUUUCGGCACGGAAUAUUUCUGUUUAUUUAUUGAAUCGAUCGAAACGUCGCGUGUAUAAUUUACAACGUAAGAAAGGAAAUAUUUGAUCUCGAACGAUGAUACAUCAUCGCUUUAGAUUUUUAGGAAAUUAAUGUCCGAUUCCUUAAGGAGAUUAAAUCUGAAUUUACUUCAUCCUUAAAAUAUUCUAAAUAAAUAUACAACGACACUAUGCGUUUCCGUGUGAUGGAUACAUUCGAUGAGGAAAUAUAUAAGCAGAGUGUUGACACGUUGAUGAUUUUUUUCACAAAUUUUCAAACUCGUCGAUGUUUUACAAUAGUUCAACACUUGUUCGAGAUACGAUGCAUCACAUAAAUCCCGUAUAAAUAAUAAAACGAAAUCCCUUAAGCUACUGGAUUACGAGACGCAACUGCUGUUCAAUAUCAAGAUGUCAGAACACGAUACGUACAAUGUUAAUCUCGUGCUCGCAAGGUCGGUCCAAUCAUCGUCGCUGGACGUCGUCGAUUUAAUCCCGCGAAAUCUCGUCCUGUCUUGUAAUACUGAUCGACCAGACGUCCUCGCAAAAACGAGUCGAAUGUAAUUAAGAUAUUAAUAACUCGUUCACGAGAAUAGCGGGAAUCUGCAUCGAGUGGCCUUGGAUCGAGUGGAAACGAUUUCAUGCGAAUCGAAUCAAGCUGUUCGCGUGUCAUCGAGAGAACUACUCUCGAAUUUUGUUAAUCGAACAUAACGGCGUUCCUUUGAAAAAUCGCCUCCCAAAAAUUAAUCUACGCGAUCGUCCAUUUGCGUCGAGACGAAAUUAUUUUCAUGGGAAAAAUUAUAAAAUUGUGAAUUUUCCUUUUUUCUCGUGAAAUUACUUGAGGAAAUUGAUUAGAUUGAAGGGACAAGCGAUGGAAAGGAAUCACAAAUGGAACGUCAAUCGAAUAAUUCGGUUUUGAAGAAUUAAUCCGUGAUCGUGAGAGCUGAUCGAGAUGAAAUUAAGAGGAAAUUGCUGUUUCUUGAUUGAAUGGAGAUCGAGACACUUUUUUUUAAUAAAUAUUACUUUUUAUAUACUAAAAGAUUUAAAUUUAUGUUUAUUAUUCGGUAAGAUUAUUUAUAUUAAUAUUAAGAUAUUAUCUGUUGUUUGUUACUUGAUACACGAAAGUAAUUAUUUAAGUAUAGUCUUGUUCCUUGUAACAUGUGAAAGUAUAAAUCUCUCGUUAUGAAACGAGCAUAAAUGCA